rnacentral:ncRNA from 1 species
UCACAUCCGUUGGGGUGCCCGUUUCGGGCUGAGAGGUCGCAAGACCAACCCACCGAACCUGAUCCGGCUCGCACCGGCGGAGGGAACGGAAACUGCGCCACA